rnacentral:tRNA from 1 species
GGGGAUUUAGCUCAGUGGUUGCAGUGCCUGCCUCACAAGCAGCAAGGGCCUGAGUUCUAAUCCCCA